AAUAUCAGCACCUUUUGCUGGAGCAGUGAUGAUAACUUUCUUGGCACCAGCUUGGAUGUGCUUCCCAGCACCCGGACCAUCAACGAACACACCGGUUCCCUGUGAGUUUUCAAACAACAUUAUUAGCAAAUAAUGAGUAACUUUUGGAGGAUCAGGCACACAUCUGACAACAUUUUUGAAGGGUUCAAGCAACAUAUGUAAAGCUCACAUUCUUGACACCACCACUGUCAUUGACGACAACGACAUCCAAUGGUGAGUCCUUGCGUCCAUGCCAACAACGGAGGAAGUUCCUGCCAAUUCGUCCGAAACCAUUGAUGGCAACCUUCAAUUUGGCAACAGUUUCUCCUUUCACAGGUCCUGCUGAUCCUGUGGUCUAAUUUGGGAUAAAAGUAAAUGAGUUUCAGGAAAAAAGAUGUUUUACUGAGUAGAGUAAAGAUGCUUACCUUGGGAGUGAGUUGGGCAGACACAACAUCAAAGAAGGAAGACUCCUUGUUACAAAAUGUCACACAUCCACUCGAUCGAAG